rnacentral:rRNA from 1 species
AAAUUGAAGAGUUUGAUCAUGGCUCAGAUUGAACGCUGGCGGCAGGCCUAACACAUGCAAGUCGAGCGGUAGCACAGGGAGCUUGCU